GGACUUGUUAACUUUCUGUGGCUGUAAGCCAGACUAGUGAAGAUACUGGAACUGGGACUUAGGGGAGAGAUCAGAGCAAGAGGCAGGAGUUUAGAACAUUGGGACUGUGAUAGAAGCCAUGGUAGCGAUGAGAUCACACAGAAAGAGUGCAUACAGUAAGAAGAACAGAAGGCCCAGGAGGAAUUCCUGGGGAGAGAUGGACAGAGUAGGGAAACCAUGAGGAAAGGAAAGGACACCCAGGAGGAGGAGGAGGACCAAGAAAGAGUGACAUAACAGUCAUUGUCAGGGAUGGCACAUGGACUAUCUCCUAUAACGCUUCCAACAGCUGCAUGUUUCAGGGACUGGACUAUGUCUACUCAUUGAGGAUAUUACAGUUAUCUGACCAGGGACCCAGACAAAAGUGUUCUGGGUCACACUUGGAGGAAGGCUGCCGCGCUGGGUUCCUGUCUGUGAGGCUUGCAUGAAUAGGACCGCAAUGAACACAGAAAGGUGAGAAAACUGAGGGUUAAGACGGUUCCAUAUUUGCCCAUGGUCACAGAGAUAGGAGGGGGUCAGGCUGCGGCUUGAAUCCAGAUUAUAUAACUCUACAACCCACACGAGUAAUUGUUUCUCUGCAUUGCUUCUAGGAAGGACCAGACGGAGGCUUGUUGCCAGCUCCGGGUAAAACAUCGUCUCUAGCCCAGGCAGACAAGGUCGCUGGACAUUGUCUGAAUUCUAACUGCUGAGAAGGAAGUAGAAGGAGGGGAAGCCCAAGGGGACACUGAAGGCUGUCCUUGUGAUUAAAAUGAACCCAUGAAUGGCCCCAUUUUGGGGCUCAGCCCUGCACCAGCCACUUUCAUAUGCCAUGCCACUUACUCCAAACUUCUGGACUUGAUGCUAUUUUUCCAUGUUAUACAUCAGGAAAAUGAGAAGUAAGAAGUUAAAGCAAUUAAUGUGGUGGCCUAGGCUAUGGUUCAGAUCUACUGAAAAUCCAAGCUUUCGACAUGAGAUACAAAAAGGUGCCCUUCCACUCUGGGCCCCACGCUACUGAAGGCAAUACAUACCGGUGAGAGCCUAGAGGCACAAGAGAUACUUUACUAAUAAAGUGCUUCCUGAGCUAGACACGCUUAUUUGGCUGAAGUCUUUUCUUAUGAAAACGAAGAGCCAACCUGAAGACAGAGCCCUGCCCACUUGAGAAAUAACCAGGGGAGAGACUGUGCCCCUCCAACACAUCCUGCCCAGGGCCUGUGGAUGGCCUGCUCUUGGAAUGAAGAUGGACACGAUGGAAUUUCAAAGUGAAUAAAAACAUCAAAAUGUGA